rnacentral:other from 1 species
UUAAACCUGCUGCGUACGUGAUAAAGCGAUGUAUUCGAGCGACACUUAUUAAACGGAGUCUUAUAUCCAAUGCCGGAUAGCAGGCCUCCUGUGUCUUCCCUCUUAAUGAGACCUCAGGGUCGGACGGAAGCGCACAGACGUUGGAAGCUGUGAAAGCAUUAUGAGGACACCACCUUGCAUGUCAAGGUUCAAAUGGUUGCUUUACACGGCGCGGCGGGGAAAAU